GCGGGUGUGGCGGAAUGGUAGACGCAGGGGUCUCAAACACCCCCACCGCAAGGUGUGUCGGUUCGACUCCGACCACCCGCACCA
rnacentral:tRNA from 1 species